rnacentral:rRNA from 1 species
UACGUAGGGGGCAAGCGUUGUCCGGAAUCAUUGGGCGUAAAGAGCGUGUAGGCGGCCCGGUAAGUCUGUUGUGAAAGUCCAGGGCUCAACCCUGGAAUGCCGAUGGAUACUGCCGGGCUAGAGUUCGGAAGAGGCGAGUGGAAUUCCUGGUGUAGCGGUGGAAUGCGCAGAUAUCAGGAGGAACACCUAUAGCGAAGGCAGCUCGCUGGGACGAGCACUGACGCUGAGACGCGAAAGCGUGGGGAGCGAACAGGAU